rnacentral:lncRNA from 1 species
ACAGACACACAGGCACACACAAAGACACAUACAGACACACAGAGACACACACAUGCACACAUAUGGACACACAGGCACCCACACAGACACACAUACAGGCACACACAGACACACACAUGGACACAUACAGACACACAGACAGACACACAGACACACAUGCACACAUACAGACAUACACAUGCACACAGACACACAUGCACACACAUGGACACACAAGCACACAUAUAGACACACAGGCACACACAGACACACAUGCACACAUACAGACACACACAUGCACACAUAUAGACACACAGGCACACACAGACACACAUGCACACAUGCAGACACACACAUGCACACACAUGGACACACAUGCACACAUAUGGACACACAGGCACACAGACACACAGGCACCCACACAGACACACAUACAGGCACACACAGGCACACACACUCAGGCACACACAGGCACACACAUGGACACAGACAGACACACACAGACACACAUACAGACACACACAUGCACACAUACAGACACACAGACAGACACACAGACAGACACACACAUGCACACAUAUGGACACACAGGCACACACAGGCACACAGGCACACACAUGGACACAUACAGACACACAUACAGACACACAGACAGACACACACAUGCACACAUACAGACACACAUACAGACACACAUGCACACAUAUGGACACACAGGCACACAUACAGGCACACAUACAGACACACACAGGCACACACAGGCACAUACAUGGACACAUACAGACACACACAUGCACACAUAUGGACACACAGGCACACAUACAGACACACAUACAGACACACACACAGAGACACACAGAGGCACACAGACACACAGGCACACACACAGGCACACACACAUACACACACUCAGGCACACACUCAGGCACACACUCAGGCUUAGCCGUAGCAGUCUGUUUCCUCUCCACAUCAUGUAUGAUAAUGGCCUUCGCUUGGUUUUCAGGAAGUCCACCUUCAGCUGCCUUUGCUGCGUGUCUGCUCAGAGUCUAAGAGAGCGACUGAACGGUACAGAAGGAAGCAAUCUCCUCACCUCUUGUGCAUGCUAUAUGCUGAGGCAAUGAGGAAGGCCUGCUCCCGGCACUGGGCAAUCUGGCAGCUGCCUCGGUGGGUGCCCUGCUUAGCCCAGUGCUGCAAAUGCUUCCACAUCUGGGCCCAGAGCAGGGCCCCGGAGCCGUUGUUCCCUUUGGCUUCCAAUGGGAAGCUGCCCCUCAGCUAAGCUGGUCCUUUUCCGGGCAGUCGCCUGUGUUUAUUAUUUCAAUAACAAAAGGAGCUAGGAAAUGGGGAAAUGGAAAGCAAAGUCUCCGGGCCCGCAGAAAACGCCUGGAAUUGAUUGUCCGGGUGGCACUGCUUAAUUAGGCACUGCAAGAAGGGGCCAAACAUUCCUGCCUGGCCCCCACCAUUUCCAGCUAGCUAGGCCAUACAUUGUGUGUAU